UGAAAUAAAACUGAUAGGUUGCUGCUGGCUCUCUAGGGAGCAUGUGCACACUUGUCGUCUUUAUUAUAUCUCCACCUGUGCACYUUGUGUAGACUGUGGAUGUAUCUUUCUGAGUGGGCUGUGCCUAUCUUAGGUUGUGAGGAUUUUGACUGUAUUGUCUAUCCUUGUCAUGUCCAGGUCUAUGUUCAUUCAUACACUCUUAAUUAUAGAAUGUAAUCAAUAGACCUUUGUGUCUAUAAACCUAUAUACAACUUUCAGCAACGGAUCUCUUGGCUCUCGCAUCGAUGAAGAACGCAGCGAAAUGCGAUAAGUAAUGUGAAUUGCAGAAUUCAGUGAAUCAUCGAAUCUUUGAACGCACCUUGCGCUCCUUGGUAUUCCGAGGAGCAUGCCUGUUUGAGUGUCAUUCAUAUAUCAGCCUCGUCAACUUUUGUUGUUUGUUGAGUGUUGGAUGGUGGGGGCUGCUGGGUCUACUUACUUAGUGGGUCAGCUCCUCUGAAAUGUAUUAGCAGAACAAUUUGUUGAUCUGUUCAUUGGUGUGAUAAUUAUCUACACUAUUGACGUGAAGCAGGUUCGGCUUCUAACAGUCUAUUAACUUGGACAAGUUCAUCAAUGUGACCUCAAAUCAGGUAGGACUACCCGCUGAACUUAAGCAUAUCAAUAAGCGGAGGAAAAGAAACUAACAAGGAUUCCCCUAGUAACUGCGAGUGAAGCGGGAAAAGCUCAAAUUUAAAAUCUGUCAGUCUAUGGCUGUCCGAGUUGUAAUCUAGAGAAGUGUUAUCCGCGCUGGACCGUGUACAAGUCUCCUGGAAUGGAGCGUCAUAGAGGGUGAGAAUCCCGUCUUUGACACGGACUACCAGGGCUUUGUGAUGCGCUCUCAAAGAGUCGAGUUGUUUGGGAAUGCAGCUCAAAAUGGGUGGUAAAUUCCAUCUAAAGCUAAAUAUUGGCGAGAGACCGAUAGCGAACAAGUACCGUGAGGGAAAGAUGAAAAGAACUUUGGAAAGAGAGUUAAACAGUACGUGAAAUUGCUGAAAGGGAAACGCUUGAAGUCAGUCGCGUUGUCCAGGGAUCAACCUUGCUUUUGCUUGGUGUACUUUCUGGGGGACGGGUCAGCAUCACUUUUGACUGUUGGAAAAAAGUCAAGGGAAUGUGGCAUCUUUGGAUGUGUUAUAGCCCUUGGUUGCAUACAAUGGUUGGGAGUGAGGAACUCAGCACACCGCAAGGCCGGGUAUUACUUUACCACGUAUGUGCUUAGGAUGCUGGCAUAAUGGCUUUAAUCGACCCGUCUUGAA
rnacentral:rRNA from 1 species